rnacentral:rRNA from 1 species
GACAGAGGAUGCAAGCGUUAUCCGAAAUGAUUGGGCGUAAAGCGUCUGUAGGUGGCUUUUCAAGUCCGCCGUCAAAUCCCAGGGCUCAACCCUGGACAGGCAGUGGAAACUACCAAGCUGGAGUACGGUAGGGGCAGAGGGAAUUUCCGGUGGAGCGGUGAAAUGCAUUGAGAUCGGAAAGAACACCAACGGCAAAAGCACUCUGCUGGGCCGACACUGACACUGAGGCACGAAAGCUAGGGGAGCAAACAGG